UUACAUUUUUGUUAGUAUCUGCAACUCAUCAUCUAUUUCUCCUCACUUUUACCUUGUUGCCAAAUCCUUUGAAUUUGUUGAGGCAGAUAAUCCCCAGAAUUGAUAAUAGGACUGCAACCACCAAGAUAUACCAGCUGCCUUAUUUGCGAACCUGUCAAUACUUCCAAGAGGAACAUCAUGGGGGUGGAGAGACUCAUUAGUCCCUGGGCUGGAGAAGGAGUCUAUGUCCAACACCCAACUGGUUCCAGUAGAAAGAAAGAGAAGAUCAUGUGCUGUAGAUUAUCAUCAGUGAAGACUGAAAUUAAUUGACUGUUAAUGAAUCUUCAGGAUAUUAAACAGUAGAAUAUGGGCAGAUUCAUAAGUCAAAGGUCUUUUAAUCUUCUUUCUUCUCACAAGUUUUGGAGUUGCUGAACUUUCCACUGAACUAAAUCUGGAUCUUAUAUAUAAACAGUAUAAACAAAAUAAAAGUAUAAACAAAAUUAAAAUAAAGAGUUGA
rnacentral:lncRNA from 1 species